CAUUGUAUUUUCCCUGAACUGUUGCCCAGAAGUUACAGAUUCUGUGUUCAGAUCAAGUACAUACCUAUAAAAAUAUAAUUUCUUAUUAUUUUCCAUCAUUGUGAAAUUUGUUAAAAUUUUCGGGUAAUAGUAAUGUUCCGCUUAUUUAUUUUACUUCAACAACUUCUUAUAUCCAAGAAAAAAUAAGUACAUUGAAUCAUAAGAAAUAUAAGUAUCAUUGUUGUUGUUCAAGAUACAAACGCUAAAUUGGAUUGAAUGACUAAAUAUUGGACAACUGCAUUUAAAUACAUAUGUUCAAAGUGCUAAAAUUAAUCAAAUGUAGCCGUGCAACAAUCGUACAUAAUAUUUUAUCCCUCUGAUAAUCAUUAUUUUAAUGUGAAUUCAAUGUUCGGAGUACGUAUAUCAUAUGGAAAAAGUUAUUGCAGAAGAUGAGUGAUAAAAGGAAUGAGGGCGAAAGGAAAUCUGCAUGGGAUAUUCCUGGUCCUUCAUCCAUAGCAGCCAUUCUUGAUACUGUCAAUACAUCAUCUGCAUCUGAAACUGUGCAAAGAAAUGAUGAUAUGGAAUGUGAAACACUUUUUGCUGAAAGUGAUGAUGAUGUGGAGGUGUUGCCAAUUAUAUCUGACUCUGUUGAACAUAGCAGAACAAAAGGAGGCUAUAUAUCAUCUAACAGAAUUAAUUCUACUUCAGCAACUCAUUCACAUGAAACUGACUCCUCACUCACAUAUCCCUCUGCAAAUACUCCAGUGCCAGAGGAAUAUCAGCCCCUACCAGAUAGUUCCAGUUCAUUUGAUCAAGUAAUAAGAAACAAUGCUGAUUGUAUGCUUAGUGAAUUUGUAGAUACCAGAUAUCAGCCGAAACCAUUACCCCCUUAUUAUUAUCCUUAUGUACGGUAUCCAAAUGUGCAGCCAUCAGAAGACUAUUUACCUUCAGUUCCUUACACAAGUAGUACACUACCUAUAAAUUAUACUGUAGCGUCAAGUUCACCCCAACCUCAAGAAGAACAGAUGAAUUAUGAUCAGAUACAACCUACAAUGGGACACUCAUGCAACUCGAGGUCAAACAGGAGAAUGGACUCAAGUCAUCUUAACUUAGAGCGACCUAGUAGAAAACUAAAUAUUUCACCCAGAAGAAGACUUUCUAAAGAGAAUGAAACUCAUUCUAAUUUGAUUGAAGUUAGUUCUGAGGAAGAGGACAAUAUGUCCACACCUAGAAAAAAACAGUGUGAAAGUGGUAUUGGAUCACAAGGUCCAAACAUCAACAAUAACCCGCAAUUAGGAAGUUGUAGCCACUUAAAUGUUUCAAGAGUUGGUAUUAAGAGUGAGCCAGUAGAACAUACCAAUGUAAGGGCAUGUUCAAAUGAAAUAGAAUCUAACAAUCAUUCUGAAAACAUAUCUCGAAGGAAACCUAGCAAUCGGCAAGGGCUCCAACAUAAUUGUAACACACAUGUACAAAUAAAGCAAGAAAAUUCGGCAGUUAAUAAUCAUGGCUGUGUUUGUAGUCAUCGAAACACAUUGCAACCCUCACUUAAUGUAAACAAAGCAAAUCCUAGUUGUUUUAAUAGUCGCAAUGGUUCUCAUCAUCAUCAUCAGAAUCGUCGUAGAAAUUUCCAAUGUUCUCAUAGCCCUCAUACGCUAUCAGGGUCAUCUAAUACAAACAUUAAAGAGGAACCAGGGAUUAAAGUAAAUGUGAAGGCUGAAUCAAGCACACAAAAUAAAAAUACAAUAAUUUAUAAGAACACAAAUACAUCUUCUAUUAAAAUUGAAAAUGUAGAAAGGCCUGUUGUAAAACAGGAGCCAAACAAUAACAGUAGCAGAGUAAAUGACAACAGUGUGACAGUGAAAUCGGAAAGCAGGGAUAAUCGCCAUUGUUGUAGUGAAGGAUUAGGUAUAAGGGGAGUAAAAGAAGAGUCCCCACAACCUGGCACUAGCUCUGGCCAAGCGCAGUCAGGAAACUCUUCAGCAGCGGGCUGCAGUCAGGAAUGCCAGGGUGGCUCCAGCAAUGUGGAUACUACAAGUGCAACGUCUGCCGCUCCACUUACUGCACCAGACUUGCAACUCGAUUGGGUCUCAGACAGUUCUGAUGAUGAUGUCCAAGUGCUGGUUGAAGAAAACCGUGAACGUGAGGUGAUAGACCUGACAAGUUCGCCGAACCGCGACAGUCAAGAGGAGAGCAACGUGAACCCCGCGUUGGGGGCGGUUCGUUCGCCACGCCCCCUUUUCGAGUCCGUACCGCACCGAGAUCCGCCGCUCUACCACACAGCCCCUGUGCCAUGCCACGCGCACUUACUGAGAACCAGAGUGCGGUGUAUGGUCCCGUGCCGCGGCUGCUGCUGCGCCGGGCCGCAGCCGCACGCGGCGCAUGCGCACGCGCACCCCACACACCCCGCGCAUCACCCGCACGCCGCGCACUCACACCACAUCGUGCCGCCGCACGCGCACCUAAGCGAUCGACGCUGUGAGUCAAUGCCGACCGCGCCGCCGUAUCUCGUGCACGCGCGGAUGUGGCAGCGACAACAGCACUCCUUGGAGAUGCAGCGUCGCAGUAUGAUGGGGGACAUAAACCAUGACAUGGCACCUGGCAUCAUUCCCCACAUCCCGCCCGCGUAUGUCCCCAGACCGACGCCGGUGCCCAUGCUCGGGUUUCCCAAUGAACUAGACCAAAGUGAUAUGAGUCCUCGGAUGCUGGUUGACGGACACGUGCAACACCAUAUGCAUCACUACCUACAAAUGAAUCCUCCACAUCUGCACAUAUCGAUACAGCAUUCACUCAUGAGCGGUGGGUUGGGCGUGACUACGGCGGGGGGCGCCGCCCUCGCCACCCUGGUGCAGGUGGGCGACGUCGGGGACGCGCGCCGCUCUCGGGGGGCCACGCGCGCUGUCAUCGAGCGGAACACGUACCGCCACGCCUACAGCCGCCCGGGGGAGCACCUCGACGAGAAGUGCACCAUCUGUCUCUCUAUCUUCGAGGAGGAUUCUGACUGCAGGAGACUUCCAUGCAUGCACCUGUUCCACAUGGAGUGUGUUGACCAAUGGCUCAGCACAAACAAACAUUGUCCAAUCUGUCGAGUUGAUAUCGAGACACACCUCAGCAAGGACGCUUCGUUUUAACUCAAGCUCCUGGUUCAAUUUCAUCUGAGUUUUGCAAGUCCUGAAAUUCAACAUCAUACAAAGUACACUAUUUAUUUUAUUUAAGAGUAAGUCAGUUGAUAUGUAUAAUAUACUGCAGCAAAAAAUGUAUAUAAUUAAUUUUUUUUUUGUUAUAUAUUUGCAAGUCUAUGGUCAGACAUCGGUUGUGUUCAUUGUAAAAGUAACUACUUAUAUUUUUAUGAAGUUUUAUUAUGAUUUCUUUGUAUUGGC